rnacentral:ncRNA from 1 species
CAAAGGUUUGGUCCCAGCCUUAUUAUCAGCUUUCUCUAAACCUACACAUGCAAGUAUCAGCCCACCCGUGAGGACGCCCUUUCACCUUUCCCAGACCAAGGAGCCGGUAUCAGGCACUAACCCGCCCACAACACCUAGUCCAACCACACCCACAAGGGUCUUCAGCAGUGAUUAAUAUUGUUAAUAAGUGCUAACUUGAACCAGUUAUAGAGAAGAGAGCUGGCCAACUCGGUGCCAGCCGCCGCGGCUAAACCGCACGAGCUCAAGUUGAUAAUUCUCGGCGUUAAGCGUGAUUAAGGAUUUAUCCAACUAGGGCAAAACCUUAACUUAGCCGUGACAAGCUUGUUACCGAGAAAAACAAAACGAAAGUUGCUCUAACCUUCUUCCUGAAUACACGACAGUAGGGAAACAAACUGGGAUUAGAUACCCCACUAUGCCCCACCGUAAAAUUUACACUUACAUCAACAAACGCCCGGGUAUUACGAGCAUCAGCUUAAAACCCAAAGGACUUGACGGUGUCCCACCCAACUAGAGGAGCCUGUUCUAUAAUCGAUAACCCCCGAUAUACCCUACCCCCACCUCGCCAAUCAGCCUGUAUACCUCCGUCGCAAACUUACCAUAUGAAUGCCAAUAGUAAGUUAAAUAGUUCGUAACAAACACGUCAGGUCAAGGUGCAGCUCAUGAUGGGGAAAGCAAUGGGCUACAAUUUCUAAAAUAGAACAUACGAAAUGCUGCAUGAAACACAGCCACGAAGGCGGAUUUAGUAGUAAAAAGCGAUCAUAGAGCCCUUUUUAAUAAGGCCCUGGGACGUGUACACACCGCCCGUCACCCUCUUCAACAGCACAUAACAUGUUUUUAACAACUAUCGCACCUCAGAAGAGGCAAGUCGUAACAUGGUAAGUGUACCGGAAGGUGCACUUGGAUCAA